UGCAUCAAUGGAAAUGUUCAACACUUUACUCUUUUAUGUCUUUCUUUCAUCAGUCUUUUUAAGUUUUGUCUCAGGGGAGAAAGUCACCCAGUCACCCCCUGAAGUGACAAGUGGUGAAGGGACGCAGGCCAUGUUCUCCUGUAGUACUGAUGUGACAGCUUCUAGUAUGUAUUGGUACAUACAGAAACCUGGGCAAGUACCUCGUCUUCUCUUUCGUGAUUUCACCAAAGAAGAAGAUCUAGAUGAAGAAGUGAAAGGUCGCCUUUCCUACAAAUAUGACAGAACAAAAAAUCAGUUUCCUCUGAAUAUUACCAAAUUGAGAAUUGCCGAUGCAGGGACUUAUUACUGUGCCAUGAUUCCCACACUAUAUAAAAAGCAUAAAGAAGAUGUACAAUAACAUUAGACAAAC